AUUGAACGCUGGCGGAAUGCUUUACACAUGCAAGUCGAACGGCAGCACGGACUUCGGUCUGGUGGCGAGUGGCGAACGGGUGAGUAAUACGUCGGAACGUGCCCAGUCGUGGGGGAUAACGUAGCGAAAGCUACGCUAAUACCGCAUACGAUCUAAGGAUGAAAGCGGGGGAUCGCAAGACCUUGCGCGACUGGAGCGGCCGAUGGCAGAUUAGGUAGUUGGUGGGGUAAGGCUCACCAAGCCGACGAUCUGUAGCUGGUCUGAGAGGACGACCAGCCACACUGGGACUGAGACACGGCCCAGACUCCUACGGGAGGCAGCAGUGGGGAAUUUUGGACAAUGGGCGCAAGCCUGAUCCAGCCAUUCCGCGUGCAGGAUGAAGGCCCUCGGGUUGUAAACUGCUUUUGUACGGAACGAAAAGGCUCUGGUUAAUACCUGGGGCUCAUGACGGUACCGUAAGAAUAAGCACCGGCUAACUACGUGCCAGCAGCCGCCGUAA
rnacentral:rRNA from 1 species